rnacentral:rRNA from 1 species
UGAGGAAUAUUGGUCAAUGGGCGAGAGCCUGAACCAGCCAAGUCGCGUGAGGGAAGACGGUCCUACGGAUUGUAAACCUCUUUUGUUCGGGGAGGCAAUAAAGCGUACGCGUACGCAGAUGCGAGUACCCGAAGAAAAAGCAUCGGCUAACUCCGUGCC